AUGUAAGCCUAAGUAGUCAUCUUAACACUCCAUAUGAGGUUAGAGUCUGUUUAAAGAAAAGUAAGUCAUCUCUUUACGUAGCAUUUCAGAUGGCUGUAUCAUCUCGGAUGCCUGUGAAUACAGCUUUUGAACUGUGAGCCACACUCCCCUGCAGGCUGCCGGCUCCUGCCUCCGCAAGACGCCCUGAACGGAGUCUGUUUAAGUCUUCCCCAGCCAAAAGAUUACCACUCGCUGAAUGAAGUCGCAGAUGAUGGAUAGCGUUGUCGGCAAUGAAGUCUCUUUGAUUGAAGACAGAGUCUCACGAGACCGAAUUCCGAGGAAAACGGUUCUCCUCCAUUUCAUCUUCAGCACUUGUUUUCAUCACUGAAAGUGGUUAUCGGACAAGCAAGAGUAACGGAAACGGCAGAAGCAAACGGAUUCUUGCCACAGAAUCCAAAUGGCAUCACCUACCAUGGGUGCCUAGACCACCACCUCGCCCUGC